GCAUAUCAAUAAGCGGAGGAAAAGAAACCAACAGGGAUUGCCUUAGUAGCGGCGAGUGAAGCGGCAAAAGCUCAAAUUUGAAAUCUGGCGCCUUCGGUGUCCGAGUUGUAAUUUGAAGAUUGUAACCUUGGGGUUGGCUCUUGUCUAUGUUUCUUGGAACAGGACGUCACAGAGGGUGAGAAUCCCGUGCGAUGAGAUGCCCAAUUCUAUGUAAGGUGCUUUCGAAGAGUCGAGUUGUUUGGGAAUGCAGCUCUAAGUGGGUGGUAAAUUCCAUCUAAAGCUAAAUAUUGGCGAGAGACCGAUAGCGAACAAGUACAGUGAUGGAAAGAUGAAAAGAACUUUGAAAAGAGAGUGAAAAAGUACGUGAAAUUGUUGAAAGGGAAGGGUUUGAGAUCAGACUCGAUAUUUUGUGAGCCUUGCCUUCGUGGCGGGGUGACCCGCAGCUUAUCGGGCCAGCAUCGGUUUGGGCGGUAGGAUAAUGGCGUAGGAAUGUGACUUUACUUCGGUGAAGUGUUAUAGCCUGCGUUGAUGCUGCCUGCCUAGACCGAGGACUGCGAUUUUAUCAAGGAUGCUGGCAUAAUGAUCCCAAACCGCCCGUCUUGAAACACGGACC
rnacentral:ncRNA from 11 species